UCUAUAACUCGAGAUAUGGGUUGAACACUGAACAAUGUCUAGGCUAUAAGACAGAUUCAAAUUUCUCUUUUAUUGCUAAGAUUUAAACUUCGAAACGGCAGUAUUGAAUCUUGGACUCUUCAUAAAUACUUUAGGCAUAUGUCUUAGAUUUCCAUC
rfam:Populus trichocarpa isolate Nisqually-1 chromosome 15, whole genome shotgun sequence.